GACGAACCGAGCGAACGUUGUUCGGAAUCACUGGGCUUAAAGGGCGCGUAGGCGGGUGUCUAAGUCUGUGGUGAAAUCCAACAGCUCAACUGUUGAAUUGCCUCGGAUACUGGACGUCUUGAGGAAGGUAGGGGUGUGUGGAACGGUUGGUGGAGCGGUGAAAUGCGUUGAUAUCAACCGGAACUCCGGUGGCGAAGGCGACACACUGGACCUUUUCUGACGCUGAGGCGCGAAAGCUAGGGGAGCAAACGGG
rnacentral:rRNA from 1 species